rnacentral:rRNA from 1 species
AUUGAACGCUGGCGGCAGGCCUAACACAUGCAAGUCGAGCGGAGCGGCGGACGGGUGAGUAAUGCCUAGGAAUCUGCCUGGUAGUGGGGGAUAACGUCCGGAAACGGGCGCUAAUACCGCAUACUAUCAGAUGAGCCUAGGUCGGAUUAGCUAGCUGGUGGGGUAAAGGCCUACCAAGGCGACGAUCCGGAACUGGUCUGAGAGGAUGAUCAUUCACACUGGGACAGAGACACGGGCCAGACUCCUACGGGAGGCAGCAGUGGGGAAUAUUGAACGAUUGGGGAAAUCCUGAUCCAGCCAUGCCGCGUGUGUGAAGAAGGUCUUCGGAUUGUAAAGCACUUUAAGUUGGGAGGCGUUACCAACAGAAUAAGCACCGACUAACUUCGUGCCAGCGGCCGCGGUAAUAC